GACGAACGCUGGCGGCGCGCCUAACACAUGCAAGUCGAGCAAUGAAAUUUUAACCGAUCUCUUCGGAGAGAAGAUAAAAUGGAUUAGCGGCGGACGGGUGAGUAACACGUGAGAAACCUGCCUUUCACAAGGGGAUAGCCUCGGGAAACCGGGAUUAAUACCCUAUGACACAUUUCCUUCGCAUGGAAGAAAUGUUAAAACUCCGGUGGUGAAAGAUGGUCUCGCGCCUGAUUAGCUAGUUGGUGGGGUAACGGCCCACCAAGGCCAUGAUCAGUAACCGGCCUGAGAGGGUGAACGGUCACAUUGGAACUGAGACACGGUCCAAACUCCUACGGGAGGCAGCAGUGGGGAAUAUUGCACAAUGGAGGAAACUCUGAUGCAGCGACGCCGCGUGAGCGAUGAAGGCAUUCGAGUCGUAAAGCUCUGUCCUAUGGGAAGAUAAUGACGGUACCAAAGGAGGAAGCCCCGGCUAACUACGUG
rnacentral:rRNA from 1 species